UGCGGAAGGAUCAUUAAUGAAUUGUAAUGGAGGCUGAUGCUGGGAAAGUCAACUUUGUUGGCCUCCAUGUGCUCGCCGCCCAACAAUAUUUUGUCCAAAUAYAACCACCUGYGCACAUUUCGGGGGAGAGAGAGGGGUGUUCUCUUACUUGUUCCCUCGAUAUACAACCACCGCCUUACAAUAUUGAACGUGAUUGUGCCGCCAGGCUUUUAACGAAAUACAACUUUUAACAACGGAUCUCUUGGCUCUCGCAUCGAUGAAGAACGCAGCGAAAUGCGAUAUGUAAUGUGAAUUGCAGAAUUCAGUGAAUCAUCGAAUCUUUGAACGCACCUUGCGCCCCCUGGUAUUCCGGGGAGCACUCCUGUUCGAGUGUCGUGAAUUCUUCAAGCCUCUGGAUGUUUUUCAUCUCACGGGCUUGGUAGUAUUGGGCUUUGCUGUGCCAUUUGUUGGAGCGGCUUGCCUUAAAAUCAUUAGCUGAUCCUUAUGCGGCAUUGGUUCUACUUGGCGUGAUAACAAUCUGACCGCUGAGGACAUCUCCUGUGGGAUGGCCAAUUCYUCAUCUGGGUUGCUUCUAAUUUGGGCCCGUGCCCCUUUGCAGAUUCUGAUUCUGCUGUGUUGCGCACGGCUCCCUUUUCUCCUUUGACCUCGAAUCAGGUGGGACUACCCGCUGAACUUAAGCAUA
rnacentral:rRNA from 1 species